rnacentral:lncRNA from 1 species
UGGGUUUAAUCGAAUCCGAGAUACAGAACAGUGACAGAAUGUCGACCAAGGUUCAUCUUCUUACCAGACUUCUAGGACUUCAUGGACAUGAAUAUGGAAACUGGAUACCCAGCUUCAACUUACCCUCCUUGGAAGCACUUGUGGGGGAUCCUUUGGAAUUUAUGGAAAGCAAGAAACAGUUUCGUUUUCCGCCCUCGGCGCCCGUAUCUGGCGAUAUUGUUGAGACAAGC